GGUUGACACUGUUCUUCUUCUUGAGAAGGUAUCCAAACUUUUUAAGCAAUGGCUUCUUCUUCUUCUGUUGCUGCUGCUGCUCCUGCUGCUUUGAUGGUGAGUUUCUACCAUCAUCCAGGUUUUCUGAACUUACCCCAUUUAUCUGAUCGAAACUCUCUCCGCCCUCCACUUUUGAGUCUGCUUCAUCAUCAAUGGAUUCGUG
rnacentral:misc_RNA from 1 species